GGACUGGGAGUCGUUAGUGAGGAUGACGCGGCAUGGCAAGAACUGCACCGCAGGGGCCGUCUACACCUACCACGAGAAGAAGAAGGACACAGCGGCCUCGGGCUACGGGACCCAGAACAUUCGACUGAGCCGGGAUGCCGUGAAGGACUUCGACUGCUGUUGUCUCUCCCUGCAGCCUUGCCACGAUCCUGUUGUCACCCCAGAUGGCUACCUGUAUGAGCGUGAGGCCAUCCUGGAGUACAUUCUGCACCAGAAGAAGGAGAUUGCCCGGCAGAUGAAGGUGAUGGGGAUGGGGAGAAGGCGGCACACGGAGGCAGGAGCUUUUGAGUCUGAGCUCACAGGCAGAGCCACUCAGAGCCCUCCGAUCUCAGUUCCCUCUGCCUGGUACACCAUUCCCCUCCCCUGCUUCCGGCCAAAUCCUUCUCACCGAUUUCAGCCCAGAUGCUGCCUCCUCUGAGCUCCUGCCAGUCCCCAGGAUCUGCCCCAGUCACCUCUUCUCUUAGCACUUAGCAUAGUUGUAGCUGUACAUGUGGCUGUCUGACACAUGCCCACUUUCCCUUAUGGACUUCGAGUUUUCCCACCCUGUGGCUUAGGUCCUUAGUAAAGAUGUGCUAAAUGGGUCGGGGGUGGUGGCUCACACCUGUAAUCCCAGGACUUUGGGAGGCCGAGGCAGGCGGAUCACUUGAGGUCAACAGUUAGAGGCCAGCCUGGCCAACAUGGUGAAACCCUGUCUGUACUAAAAAUAAAAAAAUAAAUUGAGCUGGGCAUGGCGGGCGCCUGUAAUCCCAGCUACUCAGGAAGCUGAGGCAGGAGAAUUGCUUGAACCCAUGAGGUAGAGGUCGCAGUGAGCUGAGAUGGCACCGCUGCACUUCAGCCUGGGUAACCGAGCGAGAUUCUGUUUCAAAAAAAAAAAAAAAAAAAGAUGUGCUACGUGAAUUGACAUCACCUCAUUUUUUCUGGGCCUCAGUUUCAUCGUCUGUAAAACGGGCUGACGGCCAAAUCAGAGGACACAGCAGGGCACCUGGGAGGUACACGCAGAUGAGCAUUCUCAAGGCGUGUUACUGGGAACCCGGCCUGGCCUUCCAUGGACAAAGCCAUUUGAUGGGUAGGAGGGGCCCUGUUUGAGGCACAGUGGGUCUGUCCCCCUCUUCCCCUGCCUGGUUGCUGGCGCUCAGGAAACACUACAGGUCACAUGCUUAUUGGGCUUUUUGUCCCAAGCAUGUGGCUCCCCCUGUGCCCAUGUCCUCCACACAGCCUGGUGGUCAUGUCGGAGGCCCUCAUGAGCAUCCAUCACUGUCACUGUUACCUCCUCACUCAGCUGGGUGGCCCAGGGUGGUCUGGAACUGCAGCACCGCCCGGGCAACUGCUGUGCGCCAGGCAGGGCUGAGCUCAGGUCGUGGCUUCACUUCUCCCGUCCUCACUCACUGUCCGUCCAUAGACAUGGGCUCCUCAGCAUUCCCUUAGAUCUGAAGUCUACGUCCCCUGUCCCAAACACGGGCUGGGGCAUGCACUGUAUAGAAAACUUAAUUGGCCAGCAGGUGACAUUAAUGAAAUGCUUAGCUGAGUGCCAGGUGAGGCUCUCCAUGCUGUAAACACUCACCUUAUGUAACCCUUCAGUGAGCCACUGAGGUGGGUAACCAUUGUUAGCCUGUUUUACAGAUGAAGAAACUGAGGCCAGGAGAGGUCAUCGUGCUCACUUAGGCCACAGAGUGACAGAGAUGGGCUUUGAGCCCUGGCACUCUGGCUAUACAACGCAGUAAGGUUCACACCCACCCAGGGUGGCAGUUACCACCCUCUGCCACAUAGUGCCUCCAUCAGAGGGUCCCCUUUGUGGGCCGCAGUUUACCUACCUGUGAAAUGGGAGGAAGAUACCCCCAGCCCCACGGGCAGAUGCUCAGCCCACUUUCCCCGACGCAGGCCUACGAGAAGCAGCGGGGCACCCGGCGCGAGGAGCAGAAGGAGCUUCAGCGGGCGGCCUCGCAGGACCAUGUGCGGGGCUUCCUGGAGAAGGAGUCGGCUAUCGUGAGCCGGCCCCUCAACCCUUUCACAGCCAAGGCCCUCUCCGGCACCAGCCCAGAUGAUGUCCAACCUGGGCCCAGUGUGGGUCCUCCAACUAAGGACAAGGACAAAGUGCUGCCCAGCUUCUGGAUCCCGUCGCUGACGCCCGAAGCCAAGGCCACCAAGCUGGAGAAGCCGUCCCGCACGGUGACCUGCCCCAUGUCAGGGAAGCCCCUGCGCAUGUCGGACCUGACGCCCGUGCACUUCACACCGCUAGACAGCUCCGUGGACCGCGUGGGGCUCAUCACGCGCAGCGAGCGCUACGUGUGCGCCGUGACCCGCGACAGCCUGAGCAACGCCACCCCCUGCGCUGUGCUGCGGCCCUCUGGGGCUGUGGUCACCCUCGAAUGCGUGGAGAAGCUGAUUCGGAAGGACAUGGUGGACCCUGUGACUGGAGACAAACUCACAGACCGCGACAUCAUCGUGCUGCAGCGGGGCGGUACCGGCUUCGCGGGCUCCGGAGUGAAGCUGCAAGCGGAGAAAUCACGGCCGGUGAUGCAGGCCUGAGUGUGUGCGGGAGACCAAAUAAACCGGCUUGGGUGCGCAA
rnacentral:sRNA from 1 species